ACCGAGGAGCGCCGCCGCCACAGGAGCCCAGAAUCCCUCCGCGGGGCGGGUCUGGGUGGCGCAGGGUCUCCUGGGAAAUGUAGUCCCCGCCCCUGGACGUUUUGGGGCCGCUGAGUGCGAGAAUUUCGGCUGCUGCUUUCCUGCCCCGGCUUGGGGGCCUCCGUACGCCCCGCCCGCCCUCCCCGCCCGUCCAGCGCGAACUCCCCUCUCCUUUCCCCGGCGACCGGGGGGUCCCGACGCGGGAGGCAGGCACCCCGGGGACACGUGGGCGCGCAGGAGCGCGCAGAGUUGAGACGGGCCGCGUGAGAGGGGCGUGGGGAGCGGUCGCUCCGGUGCUCGGCGCCCGCCCGAGCUCGGCGGGCAGCCAGGCCUGGCCCUGCGGCCGGCAGACGGGGCGGCGAGCCGCGGAGCCGCUCCCGCAGCGGGGGACUGGGGGGUAGGGCGGACCCGGGGGGGUCACCUGGCUGAGCGCGGCGGGGGGCCGCGGGGGGCGCCCUGCGGCGACCGAUCCUCUGUGCGGGGGCUCCUCUGGCCUGUGCGAAUCCCUUCGUCAGUCCCCGGGCGGCAGCACCGCGCCGGCGUCUCGGCUCUGGGAGGCAGCCCCGAAAUUCAGAGGGACUUGAAAUUCAUGAACCUCAUUUGGACCAGAGUCAAAGGAAUUGCUGGAAAAUCUCUGAUAUAAGAAGAGUUGGAACACUGCCUAUGUAUUUAGGGGCCGCAUCUGUGGAGCCGCGAUGGGGUGGGAGCCGGUGGCCCUGCCCUGAAAGGAGUUUCCCAGGAGGAACAAAGGACAUAGACGUUCCUGGAGGCCACCGCGGGGGUGGCAGGGGUGGCCGGACAGCAGACCAAAGCAAGGCAGUGGGUCGGGCUGGUUUCUUUAAGGGGGAAGUCCAAGACAAGGUCAUUGAUCUGCUUGCUGAUGGUGUGGGACCCUCCAGCAGAGUUACUGGCACAUCUUCCUUCCCUGUGAUGAGCUGCUCAGGGUGGAGAAGUUGCCAGCAUGAACUUCCAUCAAUGACUGUGGAUUCCAGGUCUACAAACACCGCCCUGGGCUCACAUGUGCCAGCACCUGUCUCACUGAAAAAGUGUUGAAGGAGUCAUCUCCUCCCCCAGUGGUCUUGUCAGUUGGCAUCUGAUCAUUGGGCUGGAUGCCCUAUUCCAGGAAGUAGAGCUCCCCGCAGGUAUUGCCAGUCUGAACACCAGCCUGGAUGGAAAUGAACUUGCACAUGGUUGCUGCUUUGUGGCUGCGGGGCAGAUGGCAGAGAGGAAGAGGAAGGGUUGUUGCUUCUUACAAUGCCACUCUUAGGGGGUGGAUGGAAGAACUUGCCUUUCCUCCAGGGCAUUUUAGGAAAGUGGGCAAAGGUAGGUAGAGAGGAAGCAGUGUUACCAUCAAGAAGUCCAGCUCUAGGGCGCCUGGGUGGCUCAGUGG